rnacentral:misc_RNA from 1 species
GAUGAAGAACGUAGCGAAAUGCGAUACUUGGUGUGAAUUGCAGAAUCCCGUGAACCAUCGAGUCUUUGAACGCAAGUUGCGCCCGAAGCCAUUAGGCCGAGGGCACGCCUGCCUGGGCGUCACACGUCGUUGCCCCCCCAUCUACUCCUUCGGGAUUGCGGGGGGCGGAUGAUGGCCUCCCGUACUCCUCGCCGCGCGGUUGGCAUAAAUGCCAAGUCCUCGGCGACGCACGCCACGACAAUCGGUGGUUGCGAAACCUCGGUUGCCCGUCGUGUGCGGUCGUCGCGCAUCGAGGGCUCGAAAAAAUUGCCGGGUUCCGGCUCGGCUUUCAACGCGACCCCAGGUCAGGCGGGGUUACCCGCUGAAUUUAAGCAUAUCAAUAAGCGGAGGA